UCAGCCCUUUGCUGUCUGGGCUGCUCACACAGAUCGCAGCAUCUGCUGUGCCAGCACUGAGAUCUGUGCUCCCCUGUCUGUUAGGAGAGUCACUAACUGGCAUCCAGGACAGACUGGGACCAAAAUUCUUGGGCUACGGCAGGUCGUCCAUCCAUAAACCUCCCUCAGCAGAUAUUCAUUUUUCUUGUUACUGUCGUCCCGUGGCUGUACCGGCACUUUAAGGGCACGGCCCCAAGCUGUGAUGGAGCACCUGGGGGGGGUGCGGCCCUGCAGCACAGCUGGGGGCAGUUUGGCUGUGGGCGGGGCUGAGCCAGGCUCCACCCCUCCCUGGCCCCAUUUAAGGGCUGGGAAGCGCAGGGGCAGCAUCCAAACCCGGUGAGUGCUGCCUUGGCAUGGGGUGAGCCCUGCUUCUUGGCAGGGGGUGGGAGAACCCUUCUCUGUUGCCGGGCUGUGGUCUCUUCCUUUCUGGGGAUCCUGACUGCGUUGGAGGGCUGGCAGCCAUCUGCACCUGGAAGCUGUUUCAUUUGAGCGUGGUGAGCACUGGUCCUUGGAAUGGGGAUUGCCUGGGCUCCUCCAGUCAGUGGUUGAGAUCAGUACAGCAGGGACUUCACCUGACUGCCUCGACUUCUCAAAUACCACUGAGAGUGGCUCCGUGACUGCAGCGGUGAAUUCCCUCAGGGCUCUGGGACUCGUCUCAUCAGGACCCAAAGACUCCUGGAUGUUCGAGUCUGCAGGUGGCUGCGGAGUUGCAGCGCUCCCGAGUGCCGUAACGACUGCAUGGAGAUGCGUGGCUCUUCAUGGGAACAGCAAGGAACCGGAAUCUGCAUUUCCUGGAAUGCCCCAGAGCCUCGCUUUGCUGGCUGGUAAUUGUCUGCCUAGCAGGUGGCAGCAGAGCUGCGUUGCUCCUGAGCGCUUUUAAGGACAGCACGGAGAUGCGCGGCUCUUCACAGCAGCAGCAAGGAACCGGAAUCUGCAUUUCCUGGAAUGCCCUGGAACCUCGCUUUGCUGGCCGGUAAUUGUCUGCCCAGCAGGUGAAGAUGCCUUCGAUGCUUCCAGUUGAUGGCUUGCCCCCUGCAAUGCCAUCAUCUUUCCAGUCCUCCCACACUCACCGCCAGCUCGGUUCAGUCCAGCUUUUACCUGAAUCCCUGCUCUGUUCCCUUUCCUGAGCGCUGUAAGGACAGCAUGGAGAUGCGCGGUUCUUCAUGGCAGCAGCAGAAACUGGAAUCUGCAUUUCCUGGAAUGCCCCGGAACCCCAAUUUGCUGCCUGGUAAUUGUCUGCCCAGCAGGUGAAGAUGCCUUCGAUGCUUCCAGUCGAUGACUUCCCCCCUGCGAUGCCAUUGGCUUUCCUGGCCUCCCACAGUCACCGCCAGCUCAGUUCAGUUGAAGCCGUUACCCGAAUCCCCACUCCGUUCCCUUUCCACGAUCUUCCUGUCACUCUUGCCACAAGCCCCCACCAAGGUCAUCGCAGGCAACGUGUGGGAUGCAGCACUCGGUCUCAUUGCAGUUCAUCCCAUCAGCUUCAGCCCAGCGAUCCAACCCACCCGCACCCUUCCUGAGGGCCCUUCUGCUCCCAGGCCAAUCAACGCUUCCUUCUGAUGCCAUCUGCGUUCCUUCCUGCCCACUUUCAGACUCGUGCCCCUUUGUGGCCAUUUUGAGAGUUGUGCUGAUUUCAGCGUCUGCAUUCAAUUGACUUCAACCAAAUUGGCUUUAGCUUUACAUUCACUUAAUGUAAACCAAAUUGGCUUUAGUUUUACAUUCGAUUAAUGUAAACCAAAUUGGCUUUAGUUUUACAUCCAAUUAAAUGUAAACCAAAUUGGCUUUAAGUUUGCCUUGCUUACGGGGUUGGGUUAGCUUUGCUUUGUUUGUUCCUAGGCAGGGCUAACCAACCCGUAACCAAGGGCCGGCAGAGCGAUUUUGUUCCUUCCCGGCCAGUCUGAGACUUGCGCCCCCUUGUGGCCAUUGAUGAUCUGCGCUGAUUUCAGUGUCUGCAUUCAAUUAAUCUCAACCAAAUUGGUUUUAGCCUUACAGUCAUUUUGCAUCAACCAAAUUGGCUUUGGCUUUGCAUUCAACUUAUUUCAACCAAAUUGGCUUUAGUUUUACAUUCACUUGACUUCAAUCAAAUUGGCUUUAGCUUUACACUCAAUUAUUGUAAACCAAAUUGCUUUAGUUUUACAUCCAAUUAAAUGUAAACCAAAUUGGCUUUAAGUUUGCCUUGCUUACGGGGUUGGGUUAGCUUUGCUUUGUUUGUUCUAAGCGCAGGGCUAACCCAACCCCGUAACCAAGGGCCGGCGGAGGCGAUUUUGUUCCUUCCCGGCCAGUCUGAGACUCGCGCCCCCUUGUGGCCAUUUGAAGAGUUGCGCUGAUUUCAGCAUCUGCAUUCAAUUAAUCUCAACCAACUUGGCUAUAGCCUUGCAGUCAUUUUGCAUCAAUCAAAUUGGCUUUAGUUUUACAUUCAAUGGACUUCAAUCAAAUUGGCUUUAGCUUUACACUCAAUUAUUGUAAACCAAAUUGGCUUUAGUUUUACAUCCAAUUAAAUGUAAACCAAAUUGGCUUUAGUUUUACAUUCAAUUAAUGUAAACCAAAUUGGCUUUAGUUUUACAUUCAAUUAAUGUAAACCAAAGUGGCUUUAAGUUUGCCUUGCUUACGGGGUUGGGUUAGCUUUGCUUUGUUUUGUUCUAGCGCAGGGCUAACCCAACCCCGUAACCAAGGGCCGGCGGAGGCGAUUUUGUUCCUCCCGGCCAGUCUGAGACUCGUGCCCCCUUGUGGCCAUUUGAAGAGUUGCGCUGAUUUCAGCGUCUGCAUUCAAUUGAUCUCAACCAAAUUGGCUUUAGCCUUGCAGUCAUUUUGCAUCAAUCAAAUUGGCUUUGGCUUUGCAUUCAACUUAUUUCAACCAAAUUGGCUUUAGUUUUACAUUCAAUUGACUUCAAUCAAAUUGGCUUUAGUUUUACAUCCAAUUAAAUGUAAACCAAAUUGGCUUUAAGUUUGCCUUGCUUACGGGGUUGGGUUAGCUUUGCUUUGUUUGUUCCUAGGCAGGGCUAACCCAACCCCGUAACCAAGGGCCAGUGGAGGCGAUUUUGUUCCUCCCGGCCAGUCUGAGACUCGUGCCCCCUUGUGGCCAUUUGAGGAGUUGCGCUGAUUUCAGCGUCUGCAUUCAAUUAAUAUCAACCAAAUUGGUUUUAGCCUUGCAGUCAUUUUGCAUCAACCAAAUUGGCUUUGGUUUUGCAUUCAACUUAUUUCAACCAAAUGUGGUUUUAGUUUUACAUUCACUUGACUUCAAUCAAAUUGGCUUUAGCUUUACACUCAAUUAUUGGUAAACCAAAUUGGCUUUAGUUUUACAUCCAAUUAAAUGUAAACCAAAUUGGCUUUAGUUUUACAUCCAAAUUAUGUAAACCAAAUUGGCUUUAAGUUUGCCUUGCUUACGGGGUUGGGUUAGCUUUGCUUUGUUUGUUCUAGCGCAGGGCUAACCCAACCCCGUAACCAAGGGCCGGCGGAGGCGAUUUUGUUCCUUCCCGGCCAGUCUGAGACUUGCGCCCCCUUGUGGCCAUUUGAAGAGUUGCGCU